ACACACCAGUAAAAGCAAAGAGGACGAAGAAGAACAAAAAAAU
rnacentral:sRNA from 1 species